AGUUAUUAAUUGGUUAUUGACAACCUUGAGAAUUAGACUUAUGGUUAGGCAAUUUAGUUGGUAAUAGUAGGUUGUAGGUGGAACAAAUGGUUAAGAAUUCAAAGGGUCAUAAUCUUUGGAAUCUGCUAGCCGACAGUCCAUCUUUUGAUAGGAUAAAGAGGUUGAGAAAAGAGAGAUUGGGACCAGACUAUGAGAGUCGUAAGCCGAGAUAAGCUUGGUGCUACCUCUUUGUUUUCUUUACUUUUAUUAUUUGUUUAUGAAGAAUUAUGAUUGAGAGAAGUAUUGUUGAAAU
rnacentral:lncRNA from 1 species